CUUGUCCUACGGGGGGCAGCAGUGAGGAAUAUUGGUCAAUGGGCGGAAGCCUGAACCAGCCAAGUAGCGUGAAGGAUGAAGGUUCUAUGGAUUGUAAACUUCUUUUAUAAAGGAAUAAAGUGAGGCACGUGUGCCUUUUUGUAUGUACUUUAUGAAUAAGGAUCGGCUAACUCCGUGCCAGCAGCCGCGGUAAUACGUAGGAUCCGAGCGUUAUACGGAUUUAUUGGGUUUAAAGGGAGCGUAGUUGGGAUGUUAAGUCAGUUGU
rnacentral:rRNA from 1 species